rnacentral:rRNA from 1 species
CAGUCGCCACGGGAAUACAGAGGGUGCGAGCGUUAAUCGGAUUUACUGGGCGUAAAGCGUGCGUAGGCGGCUUCUUAAGUCGGAUGUGAAAUCCCUGAGCUUAACUUAGGAAUUGCAUUCGAUACUGGGAAGCUAGAGUAUGGGAGAGGAUGGUAGAAUUUCAGGUGUAGCGGUGAAAUGCGUAGAGAUCUGGAGGAAUACCGAUGGCGAAGGCAGCCAUCUGGCCUAAUACUGACGCUGAGGUACGAAAGCAUGGGGAGCAAACAGGAUUAGAUACCCGAGUAGUCCCUGUCUCUUAUAC